rfam:Gossypium raimondii chromosome 5, whole genome shotgun sequence.
AGUCAAUGAUGUGGGCAUUUUCUUGACAUUCUUUUGAAACACUCCCAGACCUCGUACAAGGAUUCUCCUUCAAAUUGUUUAAAAUUGACAAAUUCUCGCCUUAGCU